CCGGCGUAAACAUGUCGCACCGUAACUUGAGAACGACUUAUCCAAAUUUCAUGAAACUUAACAUAGUUGUUUCUUAUGAUGGUCAAAUGAUCUGUAUACUUUUUGGUGAAAAAUAAGAUUAAAACUUUUUGAGUUACGGCACUUUGUAACUAAAACAGGGGUGUGUUUUUUUCACAUGUCGCACCGUAUCUCAAAAACGAUUCUUAAUUAUGGCUUAAAACUUUUAACACUUCUUAGUUAUAUUAAUCUUAAUAUCUGUAUACUUUUUGGUGAUGAUUCAAAAUUUUAUUUUUGAGUUAUUGAGUAUUUUGUAAAAAAGGGGGAGGGGUUUUUUUACAUGUCGCAUCAUAUCUCAAAAACGAUUUAUGAUUAUUGCUUAAAACUUUACACAUGUCUUUGUUAUAUUAAUCUGAAGAUCUGUAUACUUUUUGGUGAUGAUUCAAAAUUUCAUUUUUGAGUUAUUGAGUAUUUUGUAAAAAAGGGGGAGGUUUUUUUACAUAUUGUGCCGUAUCUCAAAAACCAUUUAUGAUUAUUGCUUAAAACUUUACACACUUCUUUGUUAUAUUAAUCUAAAGAUCUGUAUACUUUUUGGUGAUGAUUCAAAACUUUAUUUUGGAGUUAUUGAGUAUUUUGUUAAACAG
rnacentral:lncRNA from 1 species